rnacentral:rRNA from 1 species
UAUUGCACAAUGGGGGAAACCCUGAUGCAGCAACGCCGCGUGAGUGAAGAAGUAUUUCGGUAUGUAAAGCUCUAUCAGCAGGGAAGAAGAAAGACGGUACCUGACUAAGAAGCCCCGGCUAACUACGUGCCAGCAGCCGCGGUAAUACGUAGGGGGCAAGCGUUAUCCGGAUUUACUGGGUGUAAAGGGAGCGUAGACGGCAGUGCAAGUCCGGAGUGAAAGCCCGGGGCUCAACCCUGGGACUGCUCUGGAAACUGUAAAGCUGGAGUGCGGGAGGGGCAGGCGGAAUUCCUGGUGUAGCGGUGAAAUGCGUAGAUAUCAGGAGGAACACCGGCGGCGAAGGCGGCCUGCUGGACCGUAACUGACGUUGAGGCUCGAAAGCGUGGGGAGCAAACAGG